AGCUUUACACAGUGGCAGUUUCAUAGCCAAUAAGGUUUGUCUGAGGAACAAUUAUUGUUAAUUGGAAACUUUUCCCAAUACCCUGCUGUGAUAACUUAAAAUAUUGGCAUUGGCAAACUUAUCAAGUUAUGUCUUACCCUGAUUUUACAUA
rnacentral:snRNA from 1 species